GGGGACUCAGCAGCCAGCGGAGGCAGCAUGAUUUUUCUGCUAGAACAGACUCAUGCCAGAAGUCCUGCCAGACUCGGCAAGAAAACAGAGAAACGAAAGGAAGCGGGAAGGACUGUAGGAGUCAGCUGACAGGGGCGAUGCAGUGGCCACGUGCUCCAAGUCAGGGGCUUCUGAACCCAGUUCUGUAUGCCCAGUGAAGCCACAUGGUGGCAUCCACAGAACAGAAGCUUUAGCGAUGGCUCCACAAAGGGCUUCUCUGGUGAAGCUAGUUUCCUGAAAGUGAUGGUUCAUGACAGUAUCAACACCAGCCAUUACUGUGCUUUCCGUGCCCUCGCCCUCGGGGCCUUCAGCGGAGGCAUUUCCACCAAUGAGCGAGUCAUCAGUGUUACCCUCUCUCCUACAGACCAUCUUCGCCUCCACUUCCACGCACAGCCAGUCUGAGAUCUCCCGGAUCUCGUGAACACACCUGAUCAUGGCUGACAAGGUCCCAGUAGAUAAUCAUGAUGGCGGCCGAUGGCAGCUAAAGGGAGACGACCAGUGGCGCUGCCUUCUAGGAGCCCGGAGCUUGGAGCUGCGCUCAUGGGGAGCGGGGGCGGGGCCUUGCUUAAAUUUCAAACAAAAAAAGGAUCAAACCAAAAAUAAAAGAAAAUAGAGGGAAAUGUAGACUAUCUUUGUGCAUUUUAAAUAUACAUAAAAUCUCCAACAUGGAUAAAGAUGUUAUUCGAUUCUAUUUACUACCUGAUCCUUUU
rnacentral:lncRNA from 1 species